rnacentral:rRNA from 1 species
UACGAAGGGGGCUAGCGUUGCUCGGAAUCACUGGGCGUAAAGCGCACGUAGGCGGAUUGUUAAGUCAGAGGUGAAAUGCCAAGGCUCAACCUUGGAACUGCCUUUGAUACUGGCAAUCUCGAGUCCGGGAGAGGUGAGUGGAACUGCGAGUGUAGAGGUGAAAUUCGUAGAUAUUCGCAAGAACACCAGUGGCGAAGGCGGCUCACUGGCCCGGUACUGACGCUGAGGUGCGAAAGCGUGGGGAGCAAACAGG